rnacentral:rRNA from 1 species
UACGAAGGGGGCUAGCGUUGCUCGGAAUUACUGGGCGUAAAGCGCACGUAGGCGGCUUCUUAAGUCGGUGGUGAAAUCCUGGAGCCUCAACUCCAGAACUGCCUUCGAUACUGGGAAGCUCGAGUCCGGGAGAGGUGAGGUGGAACUGCGAGUGUAGUGGUGAAAUGCGUAGAGAUACGGGAGGAACACCCGUGGCGAAGGCGGCUCACUGGGCCGGUCCUGACGCUGAGACGCGAAGGCGUGGGGAGCGAACGGG